rfam:Batrachochytrium dendrobatidis JEL423 supercont1.10 genomic scaffold, whole genome shotgun sequence.
GCUUUGAUGGUGCAGUGGUUAGCACGUCUCCUUUACACGGAGUAGGUCGAGGGUUCGAUCCCCUCUCGAAGCA